CCAAUCUAAACUAACGUCCACCACCUAUUUCUCCGGCAAGCGGUGGUCCAGCAUCUCCUUUAAUCCGGACAAAAUUACGAGAGGGCACUUGAAAUUCCCUCAGUCACCCCGAAAAAAGUGGCGCUUGGGCCGGGUGAGGCGGCUGAUCUCGACCUCGUCGGGAUUUCCGCGACCGAUCAGCAGGUUGAAUUUGCCCUCUGCAGCCAGCGCUCUAGAAUUCUGAACCGGCCAGAGCCGGCAAAUCCGUUGUCAUAUCCUACGUCCACGACCGACU